rnacentral:rRNA from 1 species
UAGGGGGUUUCCGCCCCCUUAGUGUGCAGCUAACGCAUUAAAGCACUCCGCCUGGGGAGUACGGUCGCAAGACUGAAACUCAAAGGAAUUGACGGGGGCCCGCACAAGCGGUGGAGCAUGUGGUUUAAUUCGAAGCAACGCGAAGAACCUUACCAGGUCUUGACAUCCCGUUGACCACUGUAGAGAUAUAGUUUCCCCUUCGGGGGCAACGGUGACAGGUGGUGCAUGGUUGUCGUCAGCUCGUGUCGUGAGAUGUUGGGUUAAGUCCCGCAACGAGCGCAACCCUUGAUCUUAGUUGCCAUCAUUUAGUUGGGCACUCUAAGGUGACUGCCGGUGACAAACCGGAGGAAGGUGGGGAUGACGUCAAAUCAUCAUGCCCCUUAUGACCUGGGCUACACACGUGCUACAAUGGACGAUACAAACGGUUGCCAACUCGCGAGAGGGAGCUAAUCCGAUAAAGUCGUUCUCAGUUCGGAUUGUAGGCUGCAACUCGCCUACAUGAAGCCGGAAUCGCUAGUAA